rnacentral:tRNA from 3 species
GGGCCUGUAGCUCAGUUGGGAGAGCGCCACAAUGGCAUUGUGGAAGUCAGGGGUUCGAGUCCCCUCAGGUCCA